GUUAGUUUCAGGGAGUUAUUUUUACUCCACUCAGAGAGUAAAAACUACUCUUUGCGUUGGAGUACUUUUAAAGGAGUAAUUUGAACUCCUUUAUUGGAGUAAAAACUACUCCACUGAGGAGUAUUUUUUUUGUUUACUCCCUUAACGGAGUAAGUUUUACUCUGCUGAGAAUUAGUAUCGAAUGUUUAUUAGAAAAAGAGUAAUUUUCACUCUUGUUGGUCAAAUAAUGGAGUAAAAAGUACUCUUUUCUGGGAGUAAUUUUAGCAGAGUAAAAGCUACUCCAACUAUCUGAAGUGAAAAGAGUUAUUUUUACUCCAGAUGGUCAAGAAAUGGAGUAAAAAAGUACUCCUUUUAGGGGGUAGGUUUUGAAGAGUAAAAACUACUCCAGCCAUCUCGUGUUGAAAGAGUAGUUUUUACUCCAGCUGUAUCUUUUUAGAGCAGUAACAAACCACUCCAAAUAUAUAAGAUAAAGAGAGUUGUUUUUUUACUCUGAAUUAGCUGAAUUUAAGAAGGAAAACGAUAGUCUUUAUUAUAUAAGACAAAAUAUAAAAAUAAUAAUUUAUCGUAUUUAUUGGUAUUGAGACAAAAAACUCUACCCUGUGCCUAGGAGUUUCCUAAGAUUUCCUAAGUUCGAUCAAAACAACAAAAUAUGAUUAAACUUCCUAAAAAUUCCUAGGAUUUCUUAGUAUAAGCAGUAGACCAGAAAAUUGAAAUAAUUUGGAUAAGAAAAUCUUAGGAAGAAGAUUUGAAGUUCUACAAUUUAGGAACUCUUAGGAAAUUCUUAGGAAAUCCUAAAAGAACAUUUUCAAUACAAGAACAGGCCUCGCCAUACUUGCAUAUAUUGUCAGCUAUACUACAACAAUAAGAAAUGUAAUCAAAGACAGGCUUGGACUCGAACAUGAGUUUUAUGUGGUGUACUUUCAAAAUUCGCUCAGAAUAAUUAGUACUGCAUUUAAAAGAAAGAUAGGUAGGGUGAUAAUUGUAUAAAAUUCUUAGAUCCGAUUUGAACAUUAUAAAAUAAUAUAUAUUGUUUCUAAUAGAAAUGCUACUUGAGAUUAUAAAAAAAGAAGUCCCGCUUUGCAGAUAGAAGUCGGCUCACCAGGGCCCGUAAAACCAAAAUGUACCGGGCGUCCCUCGCUUUAGUGGCCGAGAGGGGCUUGGGCCCAAGGCGCAAAAUCAUAACGGUCGAACGAAGGCCAUUAUCAUAACCUCCAAACAGAUAGCCGUUUAUUCCCGUCUUUUCUACGCGUAAUCCACCUUUUUUGAGGAUUUGAUGGCAGAACUUGGAUUGAAGUUAAAGGACAUUAUGAUAGAGAUAGUAAAAUGUGCUCGAGUUGCAAAGCCAGAAAAGAAAGAAGUUUGAGGUAUAAGGAAUGUAUCAAUGCGUAAAUCGCAAGAAACGAAUAAAAACUUUGUAAACUUAAGUUAUUCACUAAUCACUGUACUUACAUCUAAAGCGCCUAUGCUUUAUAAACUGUUACUUGAAGCACAAAAUUGAAUAACUUAGCUUAGUAAAAACUUAGUAAUCAGUCUUGCACCUAAAAUUUGUCCAGAUAUUUAUUUUGAAUAUCUAAUGUUACUGUAGUUGGUUUUUGUCCGUAUAUUCUGAUCACAGUAAACCCUGCAUAUGAAGAACCUAGUUAUCUUUUCAAGCUAGCCUACCAGGUUCAAAUUUAAAUGAUGCAUAUAGAGGCAUUAGGCUUCUAGCUUCUUAUCUGAAUAUACAAAGAUGGAGGAGGAGGCAGUUCUUUUGGAAAACCGUAAUGACGCCAAAAAGGGUAAUGUUCAAAAGCUGUUAAAGUUGUUAUA